GACGAACGCUGGCGGCGUGCUUAACACAUGCAAGUCGAACGGAAAGGCCUUUUCGGAGGUACUCGAGUGGCGAACGGGUGAGUAACACGUGGGUGAUCUGCCCUGCACUCUGGGAUAAGCCUGGGAAACUGGGUCUAAUACCGGAUAGGACCGCACUUUAGUGUGUGUGGUGGAAAGUUUUUUCGGUGUAGGAUGAGCCCGCGGCCUAUCAGCUUGUUGGUGGGGUAAUGGCCUACCAAGGCGGCGACGGGUAGCCGGACUGAGAGGUUGGUCGGCCACAUUGGGACUGAGAUACGGCCCAGACUCCUACGGGAGGCAGCAGUGGGGAAUAUUGAACAAUGGGCGCAAGCCUGAUGCAGCGAGGCCGCGGGGGGGAUGACGGCCUUCGGGUUGUAAACUCCUUUCGCCAGGGACGAAGCGUUUUGUGACGGUACCUGGAGAAGAAGCACCGGCUAACUACGUG
rnacentral:rRNA from 1 species